UUUGCGCGGUCCUCGCCGGUCCAUGAAAAUACCAGUAUAUAUAUGUUAAUUAGUGUGAGUAUACAUUAAUUAGUGCCUUACGUUGAUUAAUUAUCAUAUAAAUCUGAUCGCGCCGCGUGUCCCGACAUCGUAUUCGCAUCGUGCACGCGCGAGAUUAAUAACCUUGUCGGCCGCGAAUCUCGCUCAAUUUCGCUUCGUCCCACGCAUACUUCGCGUGACGUCACAGCUCCGACUCGAGCGGCCGAAAAUUCGCGCGCGCGAGUUCACGAAGGCGGAUCACGAGAAUUAUCGGCUCUGUUUGCGACGCAAAUUUCCGGAGUUUUUCGACAUUGUCGAUCGUAUUCUAAGUGGACGAGCGCGCAUUUCCGGUCGUACUUCCGCGUCAUCGUGUCGACGUAUCCUUUCACGAGAAAAAAAGCUCGUAAUUAUUUUCAUUAAAAUCGCAGGUCGACAAAAAGAUCGCGCCGCCAUAUUGUUAUUGUUAUUUUUUAAUAUCGUACGUUGCUCUUUUUUCCUCGUGAAUCGUCGAGUCGGAAAUAUUUGGAUUAUAUUUGUAUUAUCGAAAUACGCGACGAAUCGCGAGUAUGCUAUACACGGUGUUCGGGAAUAUCGGCGACUUCCAAGUGCGUCGUUUUAUUCGCGAAUAAGCUUUCGCGUUUCUCGUGUUUUACCGAAACUCGUCGAAGUUUAUGAUAAUUAAAACACGGGCGUCGUUAAUGAAAAAAAGUAAAGCGAGUGCAAGUGUGUUUCGAAGCUUCUACGAGAGGAGGAGGAGGCUCAGGAUGGCAUCGGGUAACGUCAAACCAAAUAUAUGUUUACAACUUCACUGCUGCGAAUCGUAUCGGUCGACGCGGGAAGAAACGGGCGCGGCGCGUGGUCGCGCGUUCCUGAACGAAGAUCAACAAGUAGCAUGGCCACGUGGUGGGGGA